rnacentral:snoRNA from 1 species
UGGCUGUAGCUAUAUCAAUAAUCGUUUGAGGAGUUUACUGGCCGGUGGUUGUUACUGAUUUCUUUUGAAAUCUUCAUCGACUAAUCUGCUUACCGAAUUUCUCACAUCU